rnacentral:rRNA from 1 species
UACGGGGGGGGCAAGCGUUGUUCGGAAUUACUGGGCGUAAAGGGCUCGUAGGCGGCCAACUAAGUCGGACGUGAAAUCCCCAGGCUCAACCUGGGAACUGCGUCCGAUACUGAUUGGCUUGAAUCCGGGAGAGGGAUGCAGAAUUCCAGGUGUAGCGGUGAAAUGCGUAGAUAUCUGGAGGAAUACCGGUGGCGAAGGCGGCAUCCUGGACCAUUACUGACGCUGAGGCGCGAAAGCUAGGGGAGCAAACGGG